GUUCUUCUUCUUCGGCUUAUAUUUUGUGGUAGUUUUUUUGUUGUCUCCUCUGUGCUUUGUCGUACAAGUCGUGAAAAUUAUUAUUUAAAUUGAUAUAUCUGCAUCGGUAAAUUUAUUCAGGAGUUUUUGUGUAUUGUAAAAUGAAUACUUUAGGUCCGAAAAAGGACGGAAGUCCUAAUGUGGAGUUCUUUCAAUCGCCAGAAUCUCUACAAGGAUUCGAAACAAUCCGCCUAUGGCUACAGAAAAAUUGUAAAAAAUAUUUAGCAAAUAAUACUGAGACAAUUACAAGAGAAUCGUUGGCGCAGUUAUUAGUACAAUUCCUGCAAUAUGUGGAGGCGAAAUUGGGUAAAAAUGCACAGGAGCCACCGGCAACACGUAUUCCGAUGCGAUUAUUUAUGGAUUUUAAACCAGGUGGUGGCCUAUGUAUCAUCUUUAGUACAAUGUUUCGAUUUCGUGCUGAACAACGCGGCAAAAAAUUUGAUUUUUCUGUGGGAAAAAACCCACCACGCAAAGAUCCAAACAUACAAUUACUUAUUGAUAUCGAACAAGCACUCGUCGAGGCAAAUCUUUACCGUAUUCAUUACAUAUACAUACGACCGGAAAUUAACAAAGAAUUAGCUCAGAAGUUAAGAGAUAUCUUAAGUACCAGGCGCGUGGAGAUUGUAACCGACGAAGAAGAAGCUACACACAUUAUAUACCCAGUUGUUGAUCCACAUCCUGACGAAUAUGCACGCCCCCUUUUCAAACGUGGUAAUCAUGUAAUGUUACAUUGGUAUUACUUCCCGGAAUCUUACGACUCCUGGGCUAUAAACUCAUUUGAUUUACCGGAAUAUGUACCAGAAAAUCCUGAACUACCAGCAGAACAAUGCUGGCUUGUCUCUGCAUCUUGGAUUUUAGACCUAGAACAAUAUAACGAAUGGAUGGCUGAAGAAGACUAUGAAGUAGAUGAAACGGGAAAAAAGAAAACACACAAACAUCGUAUGUCGGUUGAUGAUAUAAUGUCGUUGGGCACAGAUGAGAAAAAACGAAUGUCGGGUGGUAGUGGCGCAACUACCAAGCAAAAGCGGCGCCGCUCGCCUUCACCAAAUACAUCCAAGCCUGGCAAACGCAAACGCUCUCCUGCUGUAUUACAUAAGAAAGCGCGCAAUGAAGAGGAUGAUGAAGAUUUGACUCGCGAUAUGGAUGAUCCGCCGGCAGAGCCAAAUGUGCAAGAGGUAGUGAAAUCAUCAACGCUACAAUCAACUGCUAGUCCAGCACCGGGAGGAAAAUCUCGUGCAGACAAUGACAUGAUGCCGAUUAAAGGAGGAACCAUGACCGAUUUGGAUGACGAAAUGACAGGAGGAAGUGCAGUUCAGGCUCUAUCCACGGGCGAUGGUGAAAAUUCCCAAACUGGCAAAACUAGUGAUAACAGUAAUACACAAGAGUUCUCUUCCUCUGCUAAAGAAGAUAUGGAGGACAACGUAACUGAGCAGACACACCACAUCAUAGUACCCUCAUACUCUGCAUGGUUUGAUUACAACUCAAUUCAUGUGAUUGAAAAGCGCGCCAUGUCGGAAUUUUUCAAUGGCAAAAAUAAAUCGAAAACCCCUGAAAUUUUUAUGGCCUAUCGUAAUUUUAUGAUUGACACCUACAGAUUAAAUCCUACCGAGUACUUAACCAGCACUGCAUGUCGCAGAAAUCUUGCUGGGGACGUUUGCGCUAUUAUGCGUGUACAUGCAUUCCUAGAGCAAUGGGGUCUCAUAAACUAUCAAAUAGACGCAGAGCUACGACCAACUCCAAUGGGACCACCGCCAACUUCUCAUUUUCAUAUAUUAUCAGACACGCCCUCUGGUUUGCAAUCUUUGAAUCCACAAAAAACACAACAGCCAUCAGCAGCAAAAGCUUUGCUUGAUUUGGAUAAGCCAAAAAUAAACAAAGAUGGUAAAGAAGUCUCAAUAGAAGGAGAUAAACCGGCGCUGUUGCCAGGUGGAAUAAAUAUUAAAACUGAAGUUUUCGAGAAUGGUAAUAACACAGGCCAGCAAUUCGGACUGAAACUAGAUCAAUAUGCAAAGAAGCCUGCGGCAAUGAAGAAUCGUACAGCAGCGAGUAUGACGCGUGAGUGGACAGAUCAAGAAACAUUGCUUUUGCUCGAAGGUCUCGAAAUGCAUAAAGAUGAUUGGAAUAAAGUUUGUGAACAUGUAGGAACGCGUACACAAGAUGAAUGCAUACUACAUUUUCUUCGACUACCUAUUGAGGACCCUUACUUGGAGGAUGAUGGAGGAUUUUUGGGUCCAUUAGGUUGUCAACCCAUACCAUUUAGUAAAUCUGGUAAUCCAAUUAUGUCGACGGUGGCGUUUUUAGCUUCAGUAGUUGAUCCUCGCGUAGCAGCAGCUGCUGCAAAGGCUGCCAUGGAAGAAUUCGCCGCCAUAAAGGACGAAGUACCCGCUACUAUAAUGGAUAAUCAUAUGAAAAACGUGGAGAAAGCGUCAGCUGGUGGAAAAUUCAAUCCAUCUUUCGGACUAUCCAACACCGGCAUAGCCGGCACCGGGGCUGACAAAGAGGAUGACGAGGCCCAUACAGUAGGAACUGGGACUGCGACCAUGCCAGUUAACACAGAUGGUACAGAGAAUAAAAUUGAAGACACUAAUGACACAGAUACAACGUCAAAAGAUCCUGAUAUCGUAAAGCAACAAAUUUUCAACGAGGCUAACGUUCAAACCGCUGCAGCCGCAGCAUUGGCUUCAGCAGCUGUAAAGGCCAAGCACUUAGCCGCCUUGGAAGAGCGCAAAAUUAAAUCGUUAGUCGCAUUACUUGUGGAAACGCAAAUGAAGAAAUUAGAAAUAAAACUACGACAUUUUGAAGAGCUGGAAACAACAAUGGAGCGCGAACGUGAGGGAUUAGAGUAUCAGCGCCAACAGCUUAUAACCGAACGCCAACAAUUUCAUUUGGAACAAUUGAAAGCUGCAGAAUUUCGAGCACGUCAGCAAGCCCACCAUCGCCUACAAUUAGAACAGCAAUGGCAAGGAACUACUGGCGUAAACGCCGCAGGCAAUGGUUCACUUACUGGUAAUUCUAAUGCAACACUCGGUGGUGUCAGUAAUGCACCGCCUACGCAAGGCCAUCCAAUAGUGAGUGGGGCCAGCAGCGUGGCCGCCGGUGGAUCGCUUGCAACAAAUGUUAGUAGUGUUGGGUCUCAAAACGCAACAGCUGCUGUUCAAGGUGGUAGCACUCAAACAUCUAUUGGCAACACCUCACAACCAGCUACGGCUGCACCGCUGACUUUACCUGCAACUAUCGCUUCGUCUGCACAACAACAAGCGCCAACUCCAAUGGAUACUAUCACAACUACUUCUAUAAUCCCUACAACUGGCGUAGAGGGAGCUACAAUCACGGGCCAGACAAUUUUGUCACCGCCAAGCGGGUCAACAAGCGUGCCAUCUGCAAAUGCACAACCAACUGGUCUCUCUCCAGCAGUACCACCAUCAUAAACUAUACACAACACGACAGUUGGAUUUACGUAACCGGAAUGGACCCGGAUUUUUAUCCAGCCAAAGACUGUCAACCCGGCAGCAUUCCUCAAAAUUGCUUCAGGAAUAUUUUGCCGCUCCAACAACAACAACAUACACAAUUUUUUCCAUGAAUUUUCGAUAACUAUAUAAUCUUCAUUAAGUUAUUUCUUACAAAUACUAUAUAACAUUAUGUUCAAAUCGUAAAUUUUUAUGUUUUCUUAUGAUUUUUAAUUUUAAAUAAUGUUGUAUCAAGCAUGCAUUGUUUUCAUUUAGAAAUAAUGAACUACAAAAUUUAGGUGUAAAAAACAUCGCACAAUGCUUUGAUAGGUAUACAUAUAAUUGCCCAGUAGCACGUAAAUUUACUACUUAAAGGAGGGCUAAUAAUUGCAACUUCAUUGGAAUUUUGUGAAAAUAAAUAAAAAUCACAUAUAUAAUUAUCAUAGUAUUAUGAUAUUGAAUAAUCCCAAUAAAAGUCAUAUGCUCAUCUUAAUUUUAUUUAAAAUCUUUGCUACACUUCUUGAUCUCAGAAACAAUGAUUAUACCUUAUACAGGGUACAUAUAAUAUUAUUAAGUUUGCCUCUUAAGUUUGAAAUACGCAGAAAGAAACGGCUAAGAGCCUAUAAAAUAUAUAUAUGUAUAAAUGAUCAACGUGAUGAGCUGAGUCGAUUUAGCCAUGUCGGUCCGUCUGUAUAUACGUGAAUAAGUGUCUCAGUUUUGGAACUUUGCACACGUCUUUCUCCUCAGGAAGGUGCUUAUUUGACAGAACCACCGAUAUCCGACGGCUAUAGUAAAUACCUGCCAUUCGAGCUAAAGGAUGAUCAUGUCCUUAUAGUUUUUUGUUUGACGAAGUGUCUUCACAAAAUUUGGCAUUUUUGUUUAAGACAACGGUGCAAUCUUCGAAAAAAUUGUUCUGAUCAGAUCACUAUAGCAUGUAGCUGCCAUCAAAAUCAAGUUCUUGUAUAGAUACUUUUUUGUUGUUUUUGUAUAUUUGUAUUUUUUAAAACUUUAUUCAAACAUACAUCCGUCCAAUUUUUGUAAUUUCAUACCAGAACUUGCUUCACGCCGCUUUUGCGCUAUUUCUGAAUAUAUUGGUUAAUAUUACCCCAUCCAAUUAAACCCAUCAGUGAUAGAACUGUUGAAUACUCUAACGUUUAAAAGGUCAGUGAUACCACUGGAACUAAUGUAUGUACAUAUAUAUGUAGAGCCCCAAAAUUUUUCCCUUCACCUAUUUAAAAUAAUUUCAAGAGUAACUGGUAAUGAGGUCCUAAUUAAGAGCGCCUUAAUAUAAACAAAUAUACUAAAUAAAUUAUUUAAUCUGAAGAAAAUCAUAAACACUACCAAUUAUCUCAAACGAUAGUCUCAGGAGAGCAGCUCCAUGAACACACAUCGUAAUGUAUAAUAUAUGAAUGUAUAAGUAUGUACACAUACGGUAAUCAGCUCAUAUACAUGUGUAUAAAUAUAUACUUAUAUCCGAAUGAAAAGUUCGUGCUUCUACUUUGAACCGGUCGCCGAUUGUGGUCAUGUAUUUGUUCUGUACAGUCGCAUUUUUCGCCGCAUAGCUAACUACUGUUCAUUCACGACCAUCACUUCAUUUUACGUUUUCACUUGAAAAGGGCUCGCCGUAAUUAAUUUCUAAAUAGCUGUAAUCGUGAAAUCAUCUAAUAUACCUCUCUACUGAAAUAUGUCAGCGACUGAAGGCAGAGUAUGUAAAUAAUUGUGAUAUUCGCUGCAAUGUAGACACCUGCAUAAUUAUGUACAUAAAUUCAUUUUAGAGAAUACCAUAUGUUUUUAGCAUGCAUACAUGGUUAUGUAUAAAGAUUGUACAUACAUAUGUAUGUAUAUAAAUAUAUAUGAGUUAUAAUAUAAAUUUGAUAAUUUCAAGGUUAUCACUUGCAAAGCUGCUAUUGCUUGGGAAGCUAAAAAACCGCUUGUCAUUGAAGAUGUGGAGGUAGCGCCACCCAAAUCGCAUGAAGUGCGAAUUAAGAUCAUUGCUUCCGGAGUAUGUCACACCGACGCGUACACUUUAGGUGGAUUUGACCCAGAGGGAGUGUUUCCGGUUAUACUCGGGCAUGAGGGUGCUGGCAUUGUAGAGAGCGUUGGUGAAGGAGUUACUGCAUUCAAGGCGGGCGAUCAUGUUAUUCCGCUUUACAUUCCACAGUGUAAUGAAUGUAAGUUCUGUCAAAGCAACAAAACAAAUCUCUGCCAGAAGAUACGUAUUACACAAGGACAAGGCUUGUUACCAGACGGAACAUCGCGUUUCACAUGUAAGGGAAUGAAGGUAUUUCACUUCAUGGGCACCUCAACGUUCUCACAAUACACAGUGGUCGCAGAUAUUUCGCUUUGCAAGGUGGACAAAGAGGCACCACUUGAUAAGAUUGGACUUCUGGGUUGCGGUAUUCCUACAGGCUAUGGUGCAGCUAUUAACACUGCCAAAGUGGAACCAGGUAGCAUUUGUGGAAUAUGGGGUCUAGGCGCUGUUGGGCUAGCAACUGCUAUGGGAUGCCGAAAAGCUGGUGCUUCUAAAAUUUAUGGCAUCGAUAUUAACCCCGAUAAAUUCGAAAUUGCCAAAAGAUUCGGUGUAACGGACUUUAUCAAUCCCAAAGAUGUGGCCGAUAAAGGACCAAUACAAAAUUAUAUAAUAGACCUUUUGGAUGGUGGUUUUGAUUACACUUUUGAAUGCAUUGGAAACGUAAACACCAUGCGUGCUGCAUUGGAGGCGACUCACAAAGGAUGGGGUACAUCUGUUAUUAUUGGCGUUGCAGCUGCUGGUCAAGAAAUCAGUACGCGUCCAUUUCAAUUGGUUGUUGGUCGGACAUGGAAGGGUACAGCUUUUGGCGGUUGGAAAAGUGUUUCAGAUGUGCCAAAAUUAGUACAGGAAUAUUUGAGUAAAGAACUGUUGGUCGAUGAAUUUAUCACGCACACUAUGAACUUGGAAGCCAUCAACGAAGCGUUUGAUUUGAUGCAUGCCGGAAAAAGCAUCCGCGCAAUUGUAAAAUUGUAGAAACAUUAAUGGAAAAUUUUUAAUAAAGCAGAAAUAACUA